rnacentral:rRNA from 1 species
GAUGAACGCUGACAGAAUGCUUAACACAUCAGCAAUGGAUUGGUGGCGGCCGGGUGAGUAACGCGUAAAGAACUUGCCUCACAGGUAGGGACAACAUUUGGCAACGAAUGCUAAUACCUAAUACUGUGAGAGAGCUUGUCGUCCCAUUAGCUAGUUGGCGAGGUAACGGCUCACCAAGGCGAUGAUGGGUAGCCGGCCUGAGAGGGUGAUCGGCCACAAGAGGACUGAGACACGGCCCUUACUCCUACGGGAGGCAGCAGUGGGGAAUAUUGGACAAUGUACCAAAGUCUGAUCCAGCAAUUCUGUGUGCACGGUGAAGUUUUCGGAAUGUAGAGUGCUUUCAGUUGAUAAGCGGUACCAACAGAAGAAGUAACGGCUAAAUACGUGCCAGCAGCCGCGGUAAUUC